rnacentral:pre_miRNA from 1 species
CUAGUACUCCCUCCGUCUCAAAAUUCUUGUCUUAGAUUUGUCUAGAUACGAAUGUAUCAAGUCACGUUUUAGUAUUUGAUACAUCCGUAUCUAGACAAAUUUAAGACAAGAAUUUUGAGACGGAGGGAGUAUAUC